rnacentral:lncRNA from 1 species
CUCUGAUCAGUGGAGUAUGACAGAGGGUGAUUGAAGGCCAGUCUCCCAGGAAAUGAAGUUUGUUCACACACUCCAAGUAUGCUGGCCCUACUGCUGCCUGCCUCUGAUUUAUAGGACCAAAAAUUCCUUCCUCUGGAUUCUCACCUGAGACCUGACUUGAAAAGUGACUGGAGACCCACAGGAAGUGAAAUGGAGCACACAACCCCUCAAUCCAAUCAAAGCUAACCAAGAUAGUUUGAAUAAUUCACUGACAUUACUCAGCAAAUCAUUUCAAACAGAUGGGAGGGAAUGAUCAGCUGAUUGCAGACAACUGGUGAGCGGAGAAAGAGAGCAAGUUCUUGAACAAAGUAGUUCUCUGCAAAUAGCUGGGUUCAAGAAGAAAGGCUGAAAAAUGAAUCUGACCAUAAACAAAAAGUGGAACAGACUAGCUGACUUUCAUUGUCUCUGUUGAAGGAAGUACAAAGAACAAGAAACAAACAGCACUAGGUGGAGAAAGGUGAGUGUGAUUUUUAGUCUUGUCUGUUGUAAUUAUGGUGUUAAAUGUGCAAGAGUAAAGUGAAUGGAUGAGAUGGCAUAACUAGAAAGAAUUUGUGGAAGAGAGCUGAGCAGAAACAGGCUCUGUCAAAGCCAAAAAGGAUGCAUGCCAAUGUUGUUUCUCUUGGCAUAGGUCAAAAAGCAGACUGUGUGACAAGAGAGAAAUUGGAGAAGACUGAGAUAAUGCCCAAUUAGAUCAUCCAGUUCACCUCUCUGGGGCCUGUGACAGACUAGUAAGGAAUUUUUCUGCUGGGGAGGAAAAGAUGUUGACAGAAACAUGAAAAACCUUUUUUUCUCUUCCCUCCCCCCACAAACUCAAUUCAAAACAUAACCCCAA